rnacentral:rRNA from 1 species
UACGGGGGGGGCAAGCGUUGUUCGGAAUUACUGGGCGUAAAGGGCGCGUAGGCGGCACGACAAGUCGGGAGUGAAAGCCCGGGGCUCAACCCCGGAACGUCUCUCGAAACUGUCGAGCUAGAGUGCAGAAGAGGCAACUGGAAUUCCCAGUGUAGCGGUGAAAUGCGUAGAUAUUGGGAAGAACACCUGAGGCGAAGGCGGGUUGCUGGGCUGACACUGACGCUGAGGCGCGAAAGCCAGGGGAGCAAACAGG